rnacentral:rRNA from 1 species
CUACGGGUGGCUCCAGUGGGGAAUAUUGGACAAUGGGGGAAACCCUGAUCCAGCAAUGCCGCGUGUGUGAAGAAGGCCUGCGGGUUGUAAAGCACUUUCGGUUGGGAGGACUGCUUCUAGCACUAAUAUUGUUGGAAGUUGACGUUACCUUCAGAAGAAGCACCGGCUAACUCCGUGCCAGCAGCCGCGGUAAUACGGGGGGUGCAAGCGUUAAUCAGAAUUACUGGGCGUAAAGCGCGCGUAGGCGGCUAGAUCAGUCGGGUGUGAAAGCCCCGGGCUUAACCCGGGAACUGCAUCCGAUACUGUCUAGCUUGAGUACAGGAGAGGAGAGUGGAAUUCCACAUGUAGCGGUGAAAUGCGUAGAUAUGUGGAGGAACACCAAUGGCGAAGGCAGCUCUCUGGCCUGAUACUGACGCUGAGGUGCGAAAGCGUGGGGAGCAAACAGGAUUAGAUACCCGAGUAGUC